GAUGAACGCUGGCGGCGUGCCUAAUACAUGCAAGUCGAGCGAACGGACGAGAAGCUUGCUUUUCUGAUGUUAGCGGCGGACGGGUGAGUAACACGUGGAUAACCUACCUAUAAGACUGGGAUAACUUCGGGAGACCGGAGCUAAUACCGGAUAAUAUUUUGAACCGCAUGGUUCAAUAGUGAAAGACGGUCUUGCUGUCACUUAUAGAUGGAUCCGCGCUGCAUUAGCUAGUUGGUAAGGUAACGGCUUACCAAGGCAACGAUGCAUAGCCGACCUGAGAGGGUGAUCGGCCACACUGGAACUGAGACACGGUCCAGACUCCUACGGGAGGCAGCAGUAGGGAAUCUUCCGCAAUGGGCGAAAGCCUGACGGAGCAACGCCGCGUGAGUGAUGAAGGUCUUCGGAUCGUAAAACUCUGUUAUUAGGGAAGAACAUAUGUGUAAGUAACUGUGCACAUCUUGACGGUACCUAAUCAGAAAGCCACGGCUAACUACGUG
rnacentral:rRNA from 1 species